rnacentral:rRNA from 1 species
CCUGAAAAAUAAGCAUAGGGGGUCCUGCCUGCCCAGUGACUGAAAAGUUAAACGGCCGCGGUAUCUUGACCGUGCGAAGGUAGCAUAAUCAUUUGUCUCCUAAAUAGAGACUGGUAUGAAUGGCAAGACGGAGCUUCACUGUCUCCUCCUCUUUGAUCUGAACUUCACAUUCCCGUGAAGAGGCGAGAAUUAGUUCGUAAGACGAGAAGACCCUGUCGAGCUGUAGCUAAAUUUUAAUUGUUGUUUACUAUUAGCCCUAACUAAUUAUAAUAAGAGUAGUAGGCCUAAAGCAUGACAAAUUAAAACAAGCUUUGAUUGGGGCAAUCCCGGAGAAAGAAAAUCCUCCGCUACUAUAUGGUUAUAUUAACCUAAAAUAAAAGAAUUAUUUUUCUUAAAUCAUAAAAAUGAAGAUAUGAUCCACUUACAGUGAUCAAAAGAACAAG